AUGAGAAAUUUGAUUGUUAUUAUAUUAUCUCGAGCACCAUUGCUAACAUCGUCAUUAGCAGAACAAUGUGGUAAACAAGCUGGAAAUGCUCUGUGCCCAAAUCGGCUCUGCUGUAGCCAGUACGGUUGGUGUGGCUCUACAGCUGAUUAUUGCACAAAUGGCUGCCAGAGCCAAUGCAAGAACGGUGGUGGUUCAUCCCCUACGCCAUCUAACCCCACCCCGGCCCCCGGUGGCGGAGGUGGCGUUGACUCACUUAUCAGUCCAGCCCUUUUCAACCAAAUGUUGAAAUAUCAUAACGAUCCAAGAUGCUCCAGCAUUGGGUUCUAUACGUACACUGCAUUUAUCACUGCUGCAAAAUCUUUCAAUGGCUUUGGAACAACUGGUGACGUUGCUACUCGUAAAAGAGAAAUUGCUGCAUUCUUGGGCCAGACUUCACAUGAAACUAUAGGUGGGUGGCUAAGUACACCAGAUGGUCCGUAUGCAUGGGGUUAUUGCUUCAUAAAAGAAAUAGGUACCUCGGGGUCUUUCUGUGAUUCUCCAGACUGGCCUUGCCCUGCCGGAAGACGAUACUAUACCCCCAUACAACUCACUCACAACUUUAACUAUGGAAAAGCCGGCAGAGCAAUUGGAGUGGAUAUCUCAUAAACAAUCCGGACUUGGUAGCAACAGAUGCUGUGGUUUCAUUCAAGACGGCAAUCUGGUUCUGGAUGACGCCGCAGGGAAACAAACCUUCAAGCCACGCCGUCAUUACUGGGGGAUGGACCCCAUCCAGUGCUGAUAGGGCGGCUGGUAGGGCUUCAGGUUACGGGGUCAUCACCAACAUUAUUAACGGUGGAGUCGACUGUGGCAUGGGUACUAAUGCUAAGGUGGCUGAUCGGAUUGGUUUCUACAAGAGAUAUUGUGAUGUAUUCAAAAUCGGCUACGGAAGUAAUCUGGAUUGCUACCCUUUCAUCAAAUCCUGAGAAAAUAUGAGACCAAAUAUUAGGCAACAAAACAUGAGGAAUUGGAUUUUGAUUCUGUUAACUCUAGCCCCAUUGUUCACAACAUCAUCACUAGCAGAACAAUGUGGAAGACAGGCAGGGAAUGCUCUGUGCCCAAAUGGGCUGUGCUGUAGCCAGUAUGGUUGGUGUGGCUCCACCCCCGACUACUGCUCUCCCUCUAACAAUUGCCAGAGCCAGUGCAGUGGUUCAACCCCUAGCCCCGGCGGUGGUGGUUCAACCCCUGGCCCCGGCAGUGGUACAGGCAUUUCCUCCCUCAUCAGUCAAGCUCUUUUUGAUCAAAUGCUGAAAUACCGUAACGAUCCAAGAUGCCCCAGCAAUGGGUUCUAUAGUUACAACGCUUUUAUCACUGCUGCACAAUCCUUCCCGGGCUUUGCAACAACUGGUAAUGAUGAAACUCAAAAACGAGAAAUUGCUGCAUUUCUGGGACAGACUUCACAUGAGACUACAGGUGGAUGGCCUAGUGCACCAGAUGGUCCUUAUGCUUGGGGAUAUUGCUUCAUAACCGAAAAUGGCGCCUCUGGGUCUUUCUGCGAUUCUCCAUCCUGGCCGUGUCCUGCUGGUAAACAAUACUACGGCAGAGGACCAAUACAAUUGACUCACAAUUACAACUACGGUUUAGCUGGCCAAGCAAUCGGAGCUGACCUCAUAAACAAUCCAGACUUGGUGGCAACGGACGCCGUUAUAUCCUUCAAGACAGCAAUUUGGUUCUGGAUGACACCACAGUCAAACAAGCCCUCAUGCCAUGACGUCAUCACUGGGGCAUGGACCCCAUCUGGUGCUGACACGUCGGCUGGCCGAGUCCCAGGAUACGGGGUCAUCACCAACAUUAUUAACGGUGGACUCGAGUGUGGCAUGGGUACUAAUGAUAAGGUCGCUGAUCGGAUUGGAUUCUACAAGAGGUACUGUGACCUAUUUGGAAUCGGCUACGGGAACAAUUUGGAUUGCUACAAUCAGAGACCUUUUGCCUAAAGCCAAACAGGGGACUACCGAAUUACCGUCCUCGUUUAAGCAUAAAUAACUGUUGUGUGUGACCCAUCAAGACCAAUACAUGUAUUUGAUGCGAUUUAUUAUUGGAUUUGCACUAAUAAAACACCGACAAUGAAUUGAUUUCUAGUUUAUUGCCAA